rnacentral:rRNA from 1 species
GAUGAACGCUGGCGGCGUGCCUAAUACAUGCAAGUCGAGCGAACAGACGAGGAGCUUGCUCCUCUGGCGUUAGCGGCGGACGGGUGAGUAACACGUGGAUAACCUACCUAUAAGACUGGGAUAACUUCGGGAAACCGGAGCUAAUACCGGAUAAUAUAUUGAACCGCAUGGUUCAAUAGUGAAAGACGGUUUUGCUGUCACUUAUAGAUGGAUCCGCGCCGCAUUAGCUAGUUGGUAAGGUAACGGCUUACCAAGGCAACGAUGCGUAGCCGACCUGAGAGGGUGAUCGGCCCAACGGGAACUGAGACACGGUCCAGACUCCUAAGGGAGGCAGCAGUAGGGAAUCUUCCGGAAUGGGCGAAAGCUUGACGGAGCAACGCCGCGUGAGUGAUGAAGGUCUUCGGAUCGUAAAACUCUGUUAUUAGGGAAGAACAAAUGUGUAAGUAACUAUGCACGUCUUGACGGUACCUAAUCAGAAAGCCACGGCUAACUACGUG